rnacentral:rRNA from 1 species
CGUGUAGGCGGCCUGAUUAGUCGAAUGUGAAAGCCCGAGGCUCAACCUCGGAAGUGCAUCCGAUACUGUCAGGCUUGAGUACGGGAGAGGGAAGUGGAAUUCCUGGUGUAGAGGUGAAAUUCGUAGAUAUCAGGAGGAACACCGGUGGCGAAGGCGGCUUCCUGGACCGAUACUGACGCUGAGACGCGAAAGCGUGGGGAGCAAACA